ACAGUGGUGGUUCAGUGGUAGAAUUCUCACCUUCCAUGAGGGAGAACCAGGUUCAAUUCCUGUCAAUGCA
rnacentral:tRNA from 1 species